GUUUUUAAACCUGUAGAAUCUUGACUUGUCAUGGCUUGAGCAGAUGUGGGUGAACACAGUGGAUGGUUUCAUGGCCUCAGCAGUGUUCUUAGGGAAAAUAUUUUUUAGUACUGUUGGUAAAUCUCUUAUUUCUUGACAUUGGAAUGCAGAUAAAUGAGAAUAUAUGGACAAACUUAGAGAAAACCAUAUAAACGUAACCCUUUCAAUCUUGAAAUUGUUAUUAAAAUGCAUUUUACAAUAAUGUGUGUCAAAUCACUAUCCUCUAUUUUUUUCCACACUCUCUUUAAAUAUAGAGUGGGUCAGGAGGAGUUUUCAGAGAAGAGUCUGUGAUAGGGUGUUUGUGAUUCCGGGAGCUGUUUUGGUAUGUGCUAUGCUAUUACACCUGGCACCAGUCCUGGACCUGCCUUUGAUAUUUAGGACUGUCAGAUUGAAACUUAGAUCUUGAGUACCAGAAGGAGUUUCAAAGAUACAUUUGUGAAAUACUCAGAAAUAUUAGAUGCGGGACAUCUCUGAGUGGUUGUAUAUUGCACUCCACUUUGCAAAUGAAAUAAAACACUGGAAGAAGACAUACAUAAGAGAAAAAGCAUUGCUCUCAGCUUUUACGCCGUUUCCUAGUUUAUUUGGGACUCUGUCCUCUACCCAGACAUCGGUCAUUUGAGAUCCGUGCCAGUGAUUUUUAAGAGGAGAUAGAAGCAUGACUUGAACUGUUCCUCGACGACUUAACCCCUUGACUUUUUAUUCAUUACAAUAAAUGUAAUGAAUCUUCACCA
ensembl:lncRNA